CAGAAUCCAUCUGAGACAGAGAGAAAAUGCGAGACAGGGAGACUACGUAAGGGAAGACAGCACGACCAGCAAUUCCUGAACUGAUGGGUUGUAGUCUGGGGACAAGAAGCCGGCUACAACCCACGCAAAGACCCCCAACGCCCCGUCCAGGAAACGCUUUUCUGUGGACCAGACCACAUUCCUACUUCUCCACAAGAAUUAACCAGUGGACCGAAGCCACUGUGGAUCCUGUGUUUCUGCCGAGCCAGCAGAGAAGAACAUUCCAGAGGGGCAACAUGG